GAUGAAGAACGUAGUGAAAUGCGAUAAGUAAUGUGAAUUGCAGAAUUCAGUGAAUCAUCGAAUCUUUGAACGCACCUUGCACCCUUUGGCAUUCCGAAGGGUAUGCUCGUUUGAGUGUCAUUGUACUCUCACACUCCCGAUCUUUGCAUUGGGAGCAGUGGACUUGGGUUUGCUGCUUCACCGUCGCUUACCUCAAAUAGGUUAGUGCAACUCUUGGUUGGACAUAGUACGGCGUGAUAAGUGUUCUUCGCCGGUGCCUCGCAAAGAGGGUGGCCGAUCGGGAUGUUGUGCUCCAAACCGUCUUCGGACAAUCUCUGACGACUUGACCUCAAAUCGAGUAAGACUACCCGCUGAACUUAAGCAUAUCAAUAAGCGGAGGA
rnacentral:misc_RNA from 1 species